rnacentral:rRNA from 1 species
UACGGAGGAUGCGAGCGUUAUCCGGAUUUAUUGGGUUUAAAGGGUGCGUAGGCGGACUGUCAAGUCAGCGGUAAAAUUGAGAGGCUCAACCUCUUCCCGCCGUUGAAACUGGUAGACUUGAGUGCAGGAGAGGAGAGUGGAAUUCCAUGUGUAGCGGUGAAAUGCGUAGAUAUAUGGAGGAACACCGGUGGCGAAAACGGCUCUCUGGCCUGUAACUGACACUGAGGCUCGAAAGCGUGGGGAGCAAACAGG